AUGACUGGUGACAAGAAUCUUUUGAUGGAUUCUCCUUUAUCACCAUCACAUCUGAAGCAUAUCAUCUUUGCUGACAAAGGCAAAAGUCAGGUAUUGGGUCUUGGUAAGGUUGCGAUCUCUAAGGAUAAACACAUGGACAAAGUCAUGCUUGUUGAGUCCUUAGGAUACAACCUCAUGUCAGUCUCAAUGCUUUGUGAUCUUGAUAUGGUUGUUGUCUUUGGCAAGUAUCGAUGUGUUGUGAUUAUGGAAGCUGACAAUUCCAAAGUCUUCGAAGGCUUUAGGAGAGGAGAUUUGUAUAUUGUUGAUUUCUCUACAGGACCACAACCAGCCGUGUGCCUACAUGCAAAAGCUUCAGAAGGCUGGCUAUGGCAUCGACGACUUGGUCACGCAGGCAUGAGGAAUUUGCACACGCUUGCGAAGAAGAAACAUGUCAUUGGCAUUGAGAAUGUCAAAUUCCUCAAGGAUCACUUAUGCGGAGCAUGUGAAGCUGGAAAAAUGAUCGAGGCCAAGCAUCCAGCGAAGACUAUCAUGACCACUACUCGUUCAUUCGAAUUGCUUCACAUGGACCUCUUCGGACCUAAUCAUUACUCAGCAGUCACUAAUGUUGCUUCUCUAUAUGGUUUUGUCGUUGUUGAUGAUUACUCUCGAUAUACAUGGGUACACAUUGUUACUUACAAACAUGAAGUGCAGGAAGUCUUCAAACGAUUUUCUUCGAGGGCUUCAACCAACUUUGGUGUGAAGAUCAAGCACAUCAGAAGUGAUAAUGGAACUGAGUUCAAGAAUUCCGGUCUUGAUGACUAUCUUGAUGAACUUGGUAUUACUCAUGAAUUAUCUGCUCCUUAUACUCCUCAGCAAAAUGGCAUCGUGGAGCGCAAGAACAGAACUCUUGUUGAGAUGGCUCGCACUAUGCUUGAUGAAUACAAAACGCCUGAUCGUUUUUGGAUUGAUGCAAUUGAUACUGCGUGCCACAUCAUCAACAGAGUAUAUCUUCACAAAUUCUUCAAGAAGACAUCCUAUGAACUCCUCACUGACAAGAAACCCAAUGUGAGUUAUUUCAAAGUCUUCGGUGCUAGAUGUUGGAUUAGAGAUCCUCACCACAAUUCAAAAUUCGCACCGAAAGCACAUGAAGGUUUUAUGCUUGGUUACGGAAAGGACUCGCACACCUACAGAGUCUUCAACAUUGUUCUUCACAAGAUUGUUGAAACUGUAGAUGUGCGGUUCGAUGAAACUAAUGGCUCGCAAAGAGAGGACCUACCUUCUGUGUUAGAUGAACCAGCACCUGAGGAUUCUAUCAAGUUCAAGGCAACUGAAGAUGUCAUUCCUACUUAA
rnacentral:rRNA from 1 species